rnacentral:rRNA from 1 species
UACGAGGGGGGCGAGCGUUGUUCGGAAUUAUUGGGCGUAAAGGGUGCGUAGGCGGUUUGGUAAGUCUGAUGUGAAAUCUAUGGGCUCAACUCAUAGUCUGCAUCGGAAACUGCCGGGCUUGAGUAUGGGAGAGGUGAGUGGAAUUCCCAGUGUAGCGGUGAAAUGCGUAGAUAUUGGGAGGAACACCGGUGGCGAAGGCGGCUACCUGGGACCGGUACUGACGCUGAGGCGCGAAAGCUAGGGGAGCAAACAGG